AGAGUUUGAUCAUGGCUCAGAAUCAACGCUGGCGGCGUGCCUAACACAUGCAAGUCGAACGCGAAAGGGGAGCAAUCCCUGAGUAGAGUGGCAAACGGGUGAGUAACACGUGGGUGACCUGCCUUCGAGUGGGGGAUAACGUCCCGAAAGGGACGCUAAUACCGCAUGACAUCCUGCUUUUGGACAAGCGGAGAUCAAAGCUGGGGAUCGCAAGACCUGGCGCUUGAAGAGGGGCCCGCGCCUGAUUAGCUAGUUGGUGGGGUAACGGCCUACCAAGGCAACGAUCAGUAUCCGGCCUGAGAGGGCGGACGGACACACUGGGACUGAGACACGGCCCAGACUCCUACGGGAGGCAGCAGUGGGGAAUUGUUCGCAAUGGGCGCAAGCCUGACGACGCAACGCCGCGUGGAGGAUGAAGAUCUUCGGGUCGUAAACUCCUGUCGAGUGGGAAGAAUAGUUUCGGGGCUAACAUCCCCGGAGCCUGACGGUACCACUAAAGGAAGCCCCGGCUAACUCCGUGCCAGCAGCCGCGGUAAUACGGGGGGGGCAAGCGUUGUUCGGAAUUACUGGGCGUAAAGGGCUCGUAGGCGGCCAACUAAGUCGGAUGUGAAAUCCCCAGGCUCAACCUGGGAACUGCAUCCGAUACUGGAUGGCUUGAAUUCGGGAGAGGGAUGCAGAAUUCCAGGUGUAGCGGUGAAAU
rnacentral:rRNA from 1 species